CGCGGCGGCGCCGCCUCCUGCCGCCAUGUGGGGAGCCGUUAGCCCGCGGCCACCUCCCGCCGCCCGCCGCGCAGGGUGGGGAGGGAGGCCCAGGGGCGCGACCCUGAGGGAAAGCAGCUGCUGGCUCCGCCAUUUCCCUCCCACCCCCUCAAACCAGUGAUAAAUGGGCACAAAUGUCGGCUCAGCCCCCUGCCUGCCCCUGCUGGGAGCGUGCGGACUGCUGCCCGCCACGAGGAGGUGUGAAAAGAGGCGCUUUGGGAGGAAAAACAAAACGGCGAAAGUGCCACCGCUGGCCUGAAACAGGUGCUGCAGGCAGCUUUCCUCCUUCAUAUAUGCUCAGAUGAUUUCUCUAAUCCUCUCAUUGACUUCAGAAGCAUUUUCUCGUCUCCCGACAUUUCCUACGAAAACGCUGUGACGGGUUCAAUCAGCUACCCAGUCUCUCGUAAAACUUCUCCAAGUUUAAUCUCGACCCACCUGAAGUCCAUCAUACGCCAGACUGUGCGUAAACUGGGAAAAGACAUUUUAACCUCAUCGCCUCACAAAGUUCACGAGUUAGGUUGCCUGUGAAACUAAAAAUAGCAACAGAAGUUCUGUUUUACAGCUUCUAGUAAUUUCCUUCUUUUUUUUCUCAUUCAUUUGGCCUCCUUUGAGCUCACCUUCUUGUUCCCGUUCUAGGCUGUACUUUAGUGCAUGAUGAGACAAACUGAUAAAAGAUCCAAGUUUUAACAAAAUCUAAAAGCUUCAUCUAAACCUUGUACGAGUGCAGACCUGGGAGGCAGGAGAAUUACAGGCAAGCAUCUUUGUAGAUUGCCUUCAUAACUGGGAACCUAAAAAGCGUAUUUUUCUUCUUCAAAUCAAACCGAUUAUACAGUUUUGAGACAGCUGGAACUGAAUUUUGCCACUGAAUUAGUUACGGCGCCGCAGCUGAGCAGGGAUUUUAUGAUAUUUACAGUUCUUGGAGACGUGCCGUUUGUGUUCCUUGAGGCCUGUAUGGGGUUGGUUUUAUGCAGUUCUAUAAAAGCCAAUUUGGGCGGAAAAAGAAGCGAAUGACAUUUAACGCUGCAAAGAAAGCAAACGGAUACUGCUAUAGAGGGAUGGCUGACGUGGCUAACAGGGUAAAGCACGGUAGAAAUGUGGCUUUGGGUACUAUUUUUUAAUGUAUAUUGAGAACAAAGGAGCCGUGAAAAUAACGUUGCUCCAUCGCAUGAUACAGCAAAGUUGACAAUAAGGAGGCAGAAAAGGUUGAUACAAUCAAAUAUUUCUGUACUGCACUUGGGGAAAAAGACAAAUAUUGCAGACAGAUCACAUGAUGAAAUACUUUUCCACAGUUCUUAAGCAAAUAUUUGUCAAAUAGCAGAUACAAUGUUUUUGCUUUAAAGCAGAUAGCUAAUUGAAUAUUUCUCUUCUCAGUUACUGAUAUGAAUAGAUUUGAAGUAUUGAACAUCUUCCGAAUAAGAAAACUAAUGCUACCUAAUGUUUAGAAAGAACUAAAUGAGGUGGUUCGGUAACAGAAUGUUGAUCCCAGGCAGAUCCCAGGGAAGUAACUGAAUGUUGGUAUAUACAGGUUCACUUAUUGCUUUAAUCAACCCUACGCAUGGGUUUAUGGAAUAAAUAUCAAAUCAACC